rnacentral:rRNA from 1 species
UGAGGAAUAUUGGACAAUGGGCGCAAGCCUGAUCCAGCCAUGCCGCGUGCAGGAAGAAGCAUCUAUGGUGUGUAAACUGCUUUUGUACGGGAAGAAACACUCCUACGUGUAGGAGCUUGACGGUACCGUAAGAAUAAGGAUCGGCUAACUCCGUGCCAGCAGCCGCGGUAAUACGGAGGAUCCAAGCGUUAUCCGGAAUCAUUGGGUUUAAAGGGUCCGUAGGCGGUUUAGUAAGUCAGUGGUGAAAGCCCAUCGCUCAACGAUGGAACGGCCAUUGAUACUGCUAGACUUGAAUUAUUAGGAAGUAACGAGAAUAUGUAGUGUAGCGGUGAAAUGCUUGGAUAUUACAUGGAAUACAAAUUGCGAAGGCAGGUUGCUCCUAAUGGAUUGACGCUGAUGGACAAAAGGGUGGGGGGCGAACA